AAGUCUUAUCUGGUAUUUUUAGCCUGUGGGACUCUAGAGGCAGCUGAUAAGUACCGGCGGACCAGGUGGAACAGGGCUUCGGUGGUCGAUGAGGCAAAAACUCGGGUGUGAGAAAUUCGCGAGGCCAUGGACAACGACUUCAGGAUGGCUUCGAGGAGAUUAUGGUUCACCAUCUGGCGGGUGGGAAAUUAGUGCAGCAUCAAACUGUUUAUGAUGGGGAUGGGGCGCUGCUGACCUCAGCUCCAGAUGUUGUGGGUCGGUGGAAGGAAUUCUUCGAAGACCUCCUCAAUCCCAGCGACAUGGCUUCCAAUGAGGAAGCAGAGUGUGGGGACUGGGUGAACCCCCUAUCUCUAGGGUGGAAGUCGCUGAGGUAGUUAAAAAGCUCCUUGGUAGCUGGACCCUGAAGGUGGAUGAGAUCCGCCUGGAGUUCCUAAAGGCUCUGGAUGUUGCAGGGCUGUCCUGGUUGAGACACAUCUGUAGCAUCGUGUGGACAUCGGGGGCAGUGCCUCUGGAUUGGCGGACCAGGGUGGUGGUCCCCCUCUUCAAGAAGGGGGACUAGAGGGUGUGUUCCAACUAUAGGGGAUCAUACUCCUCAGCCUCCCUGGUAAGGUCUAUUUGGCAGUUCUGGAGAGGAGGGUCCGCUGGAUUGUCGAACCUCAGAUUCAGGAGGAGCAGUGUGGUUUUCACCCUGGCCGUGGAUCAGUGAACCAGCUCUAUACUCUCAGCAGGGUCCUGGAGGGUGCAUGGGAGUUUGCCUAAUCAGUCUACAUGUGCUUUGUGGACUUGGAGAAGGCAUUCGACCAUGUCCCAUAAUGAACCCCUGUUGUGUCCUGUGAGCUGUCAGUGGGUUAUCCACCUUCCUGUCUGUAUCAUGCCUCAUCUGUAUGCCAGAACCACCCAAAUCUGUUACUAGGAGUCUAAGGUGGGACAUGAUCCAGGAAAAAUCAAAUGGAACAACUUGCUUUUGUGCAACGUCACGUAAAGAUGAUGCUCCUACCUGAACAGAGGAGCCAGGUUUACAGGGUGGUCCACUGGGCUGGGAUCUGACUGGAAUCGGCACAAUACAGGCACGCUUUUGUCGGCGCAGUCGCUCUGCAGUUUGGGAGGAAAAAUCAAAUGGAACAACUUGCUUUUGUGCAACGUCACGUAAAGAUGAUGCUCCUACCUGAACAGAGGAGCCAGGUUUAUAGGGUGGUCCACUGGGCUGGGAUCUGACUGGAAUCGGCACAAUACAGGCACGCUUUUGUCGGCGCAGUCGCUCUGCAGUUUGGGAGAGCUCCCUUGUGUACUCGCCACCUCCAUGUGUUCGUUGGACUGAUCCUCCAGCUUCUGAAAUCCCUGGAUCCGUGACCUCGACUACAAGUAUUGCUUACAGAUUCGAGUUUUGUUGUCAUUGUAAUAAACUCCCCUUUCCUGUGUAUUGGUUCUCUGACCUGUGUUUGACAGUCUUAGCUGCUUGGGAUAGGUAGCCAGCAUUUUAUCACCAAUACUGCGUUUAACUUUGCUUUGUUUUUAAAGUAAAAUAUUACGGAAGUACUGAAUGUUACACUGAUGGUGGCAUUUCUAAAUAACAGCCAAAUC